rnacentral:tRNA from 1 species
GUCAUGGGGUGUCGGGGGUCGGAGGUUCAAAUCCUCUCGUGCCGA